UUCCAGGAAAAGCCUCUAAGCUUCAGAUUGUAAGGAAUCGUACCCCAAACCGACACAGGUGGUCGGGUAGAGAAUACCAAGGCGCUUGAGAGAACUCGGGUGAAGGAACUAGGCAAAAUGGUACCGUAACUUCGGGAGAAGGUACGCUCUUGAUGGUGAAGUCCCUCGCGGAUGGAGCUGAUGAGAGUCGCAGAUACCAGGUGGCUGCAACUGUUUAUUAAAAACACAGCACUGUGCAAAAUCGUAAGAUGACGUAUACGGUGUGACGCCUGCCCGGUGCCGGAAGGUUAAUUGAUGGGGUUAGCGUAAGCGAAGCUCUUGAUCGAAGCCCCGGUAAACGGCGGCCGUAACUAUAACGGUCCUAAGGUAGCGAAAUUCCUUGUCGGGUAAGUUCCGACCUGCACGAAUGGCGUAAUGAUGGCCACGCUGUCUCCACCCGAGACUCAGUGAAAUUGAAAUCGCUGUGAAGAUGCAGUGUACCCGCGGCUAGACGGAAAGACCCCGUGAACCUUUACUACAGCUUGGCACUGAACAUUGAACCUACAUGUGUAGGAUAGGUGGGAGGCUUUGAAGACGUGACGCUAGUUGCGUUGGAGCCGUCCUUGAAAUACCACCCUUGUAUGUUUGAUGUUCUAACUUAGCCCCGUUAUCCGGGGUGAGGACAGUGCCUGGUGGGUAGUUUGACUGGGGCGGUCUCCUCCCAAAGAGUAACGGAGGAGCACGAAGGUGGGCUAAUCACGGUUGGACAUCGUGAGGUUAGUGCAAUGGCAUAAGCCCGCUUAACUGCGAGAAUGACGGUUCGAGCAGGUGCGAAAGCAGGUCAUAGUGAUCCGGUGGUUCUGUAUGGAAGGGCCAUCGCUCAACGGAUAAAAGGUACUCCGGGGAUAACAGGCUGAUACCGCCCAAGAGUUCAUAUCGACGGCGGUGUUUGGCACCUCGAUGUCGGCUCAUCACAUCCUGGGGCUGAAGUCGGUCCCAAGGGUAUGGCUGUUCGCCAUUUAAAGUGGUACGCGAGCUGGGUUUAGAACGUCGUGAGACAGUUCGGUCCCUAUCUGCCGUGGGCGUUGGAAGAUUGAAGGGGGCUGCUCCUAGUACGAGAGGACCGGAGUGGACGAACCUCUGGUGUUCGGGUUGUGUCGCCAGACGCAUUGCCCGGUAGCUAAGUUCGGAAUCGAUAACCGCUGAAAGCAUCUAAGCGGGAAGCGAGCC
rnacentral:rRNA from 1 species